CAACGUCGUCUGUCAGCUCAUGAACCCACCCGCCGCUUCUUGUCCAUCACCUCCUCCAGGAGACAUCCUCACCAGACUGCUUCCCCUGCCCUCCAAAUUCACCUGUCUACUCCCUUCAAAGCACCAGACAAUGGGGUCUGGCUCUGUUGCCCAGGCUGGAGUGCAGUUACACCAUCACAGCUCACUGCAGCCUUGACCUCCCGGGCUCACGUGAUCCUCCUGCCUCAGCCUCCCGAAUAGCUGGGACUGCAGAAAGAAGGCUGCCGUCUGCAAGUCAGGGAGAGAGCCCUCACCAGAACCCAACCAUGCCGGCCUCUGAUCUCAGACUUUCAGCCUCCAGAACUGUGAGAAAACAUCUGUUGCUAAAGCCCUCCAGUCUGGUAUUUUAUAAUAGCAACCAGGGCAGACUGAGACACUCACUGAUCAAACGAGAAGGCAGAUGCAUGAUUUUAUGUACAGUACUACUUUCUUUCUUCACAUCAGACAGGUCGUGCCGACUCGUAACCAGGUUUGUGGAGGCACAUCUUACACAUGAGCGUGAAACCCCAAUUAUCACACUUAUAAAUGAAAAGAACCUCUACAGUACUACUCUUGUCUUAUGUAUAAUGUAUGGAUAUACAUGUGAAAAAGCCUUGAAAUAUAUUAAAAUGCUAACCAUA